AAUUAGCCCUGAUGGAAGCGGCAUCUCCCGUCUCGUUUUUUUAACGAGACGGGAAUACAGCGGACAGCAGGAGUGAUG
rnacentral:sRNA from 1 species